AACGAGUUAUCUGAACCUUCGGGGAACGAUAACGGCGUCGAGCGGCGGACGGGUGAGUAAUGCCUAGGAAAUUGCCCUGAUGUGGGGGAUAACCAUUGGAAACGAUGGCUAAUACCGCAUGAUGCCUACGGGCCAAAGAGGGGGACCUUCGGGCCUCUCGCGUCAGGAUAUGCCUAGGUGGGAUUAGCUAGUUGGUGAGGUAAGGGCUCACCAAGGCGACGAUCCCUAGCUGGUCUGAGAGGAUGAUCAGCCACACUGGAACUGAGACACGGUCCAGACUCCUACGGGAGGCAGCAGUGGGGAAUAUUGCACAAUGGGCGCAAGCCUGAUGCAGCCAUGCCGCGUGUGUGAAGAAGGCCUUCGGGUUGUAAAGCACUUUCAGUCGUGAGGAAGGUGGUAGUGUUAAUAGCACUAUCAUUUGACGUUAGCGACAGAAGAAGCACCGGCUAACUCCGUGCCAGCAGCCGCGGUAAUACGGAGGGUGCGAGCGUUAAUCGGAAUUACUGGGCGUAAAGCGCAUGCAGGUGGUUUGUUAAGUCAGAUGUGAAAGCCCGGGGCUCAACCUCGGAAUUGCAUUUGAAACUGGCAGACUAGAGUACUGUAGAGGGGGGUAGAAUUUCAGGUGUAGCGGUGAAAUGCGUAGAGAUCUGAAGGAAUACCGGUGGCGAAGGCGGCCCCCUGGACAGAUACUGACACUCAGAUGCGAAAGCGUGGGGAGCAAACAGGAUUAGAUACCCUGGUAGUCCACGCCGUAAACGAUGUCUACUUGGAGGUUGUGGCCUUGAGCCGUGGCUUUCGGAGCUAACGCGUUAAGUAGACCGCCUGGGGAGUACGGUCGCAAGAUUAAAACUCAAAUGAAUUGACGGGGGCCCGCACAAGCGGUGGAGCAUGUGGUUUAAUUCGAUGCAACGCGAAGAACCUUACCUACUCUUGACAUCCAGAGAACUUUCCAGAGAUGGAUUGGUGCCUUCGGGAACUCUGAGACAGGUGCUGCAUGGCUGUCGUCAGCUCGUGUUGUGAAAUGUUGGGUUAAGUCCCGCAACGAGCGCAACCCUUAUCCUUGUUUGCCAGCGAGUAAUGUCGGGAACUCCAGGGAGACUGCCGGUGAUAAACCGGAGGAAGGUGGGGACGACGUCAAGUCAUCAUGGCCCUUACGAGUAGGGCUACACACGUGCUACAAUGGCGCAUACAGAGGGCGGCCAACUUGCGAAAGUGAGCGAAUCCCAAAAAGUGCGUCGUAGUCCGGAUUGGAGUCUGCAACUCGACUCCAUGAAGUCGGAAUCGCUAGUAAUCGUGGAUCAGAAUGCCACGGUGAAUACGUUCCCGGGCCUUGUACACACCGCCCGUCACACCAUGGGAGUGGGCUGC
rnacentral:rRNA from 1 species